GACGAACGCUGGCGGCGUGCUUAACACAUGCAAGUCGAACGAUGAAGCCGGAGCUUGCUCUGGUGAAUUAGUGGCGAACGGGUGAGUAACACGUGAGUAACCUGCCCUUGACUCUGGGAUAACUGCUAGAAAUGGUAGCUAAUACCGGAUACGACCCUCGGAGGCAUCUUCAGGGGGUGGAAAGAAUUUCGGUCAAGAAUGGACUCGCGGCCUAUCAGCUAGUUGGUGAGGUAAUGGCUCACCAAGGCGACGACGGGUAGCCGGCCGGAGAGGGUGACCGGCCACACUGGGACUGAGACACGGCCCAGACUCCUACGGGAGGCAGCAGUGGGGAAUAUUGCACAAUGGGCGCAAGCCUGAUGCAGCAACGCCGCGUGAGGGAUGACGGCCUUCGGGUUGUAAACCUCUUUUAGUAGGGAAGAAGCGAAAGUGACGGUACCUGCAGAAAAAGCACCGGCUAACUACGUGCCAGCCGCCGCGGUAA
rnacentral:rRNA from 1 species